GUGAAUAUAAUUUAAAGGUAAAAUAUUGGCCUGUGGAGCUGAAAUUUCGGGUUCGAUUCCCGAUAUUCAUC